rnacentral:rRNA from 1 species
CAAACCUUCCUCCCCCGCACCCGCAGCCGCCUCCCCGAGCUCCCUCCCUCCUCGUCCACGCGCGCUCGCCUCCGGCCGCCUCCGCUGCGAGCCCUCCUCCUGCUGUCACCGCCUCCCAUCCCCUCGGCGACGCGCCGCAGGACCCGCACGGCCCAAGCUUCGACGACGGCGCGCAAUGAUAGAGGAAGAGAGAAGGAGAGGUAUGGUGGGGGAUCUGCUCAUGAGCUGGAGGUGCGCAAGUUUGGGUAGCAGAGGAUGGCUUGCCGGCAAGCUCAGCCCUCUCCGCCUGGUCCGGAGACGCCCGUUGGCGAGCUUCGACCACCCACAUCGGGGCAGAGGGAGCCGCGUGCGUGGCCAGCAAGUGGAACGACGGGGGAGAUGCCGCGCCGCGGGCUUGACGGGGAGGAGAGAUGAAGAGGGCGCGUGUGGGCGGCUGGCCGAAGGGGAACCAUCGCGUCUCUCCCGCAUCUACGAACCGCAGGUCAGUUUUGCACAGGGCAGGCAUGUCUUCAUGGUGCUUGCGGAGGAGCAGGGCUGCUGAGGAAAAGUGGUGGUUGGGGAGGAGGACGCCCUUGUCCUUGCCCUUGUCCUUGUCCUGUGUUGCUCUGUGCAUGGUCGUUGAAGGCGAGGACAACCUGUGACUCCUCGUGACAAGGAAAUUUCCUCCAUCCCCUCUCUUCCUCUCAUGCACUGUUGCCGCUCCUCAACUAUGUUUUUCUCUCCUGAUUUUUGGAAGUACCUGAUUGGCUGGGUGCUUUGAAUAUGUAUCAUUUUCUGUGAUUAGUAUUAGCAGCUUCAUUAGGGGCAGUCUAUUUUAACUCCACUUUCUAAACUGAACUGAAUAAAUCCAUUUGAGUUUGUCUAUUUCUGAAUUUAUUGUAAUGGCAUGCCUUCAGUUUGUGUUGCACAUUAGGAAGAAGAGACCUGGGCAGCGUGCUUUACAUGGGUGGCGUCACCAUGACCAGAUUAAUGAUUCAAGCCCAAGAACAUGUGAGAAAUCAUUGAUGCGCAUGACUGAUAGCUUUCGCACAAAAGGCUCGCCGGCUGGGAGAUGGCGAGCGCCAGUGAGCACUGCGCACGGUGUAUCAAGCUGGACAAGAUCACAAGAGCGUGAGCGACAGUCAAGACAUGAGCUAUCCAGUGGUCAAACUGGGCUAUAUUUCUUUCAUUGAGGCGAGGGUGAUUCCAGUAGAUUUUGCUUGGCGUACUUGCCUUUUUUCUUGAAGUUGGGUGUCAGUCGUCUCUGCGGCAAGCAAGGAUUCUGGAUCGGGCGCAGGUCGUCGCCAUAAGAGAGCCUGGCUGGUGUGGUCUUCAUGCUUGGUGUGGAGAAGCAGGGGAGGAUGAGUAGGACGGGCAUGGGGAAGGAGCAGCCAUGCCGGAGCUCCAGCGUUGCUCACGUCAUGGUCUAAUGGAGCCGGCCAUCACUAUGGACUGCUGCUCGCCGGUCGUCGUUCCCCAAUCUCAGUUGCUCAUCUUUGGCUUCACCAUCUUCCUCCCCUGAUCAUGCAUCUAUUUUAGAUCAUAUAAUUAUGCUAUAUCAUAUAUGUUGUUUAGUUCAGACUUGUGCAUGUGCAUGCAUUGGCAUUGAUUUAGACAGAGAUAUUGCAUGAUUUGUACAUAAAAGGAGUACGGAUGAUCUAAGAAUAAAUGUUCGAAUAAAGUUAGUAGUGAGAUUUAGGUAGAGGUUACCUGCACUGUUCUGUUUUAUGUAGAUUCUAAGCUGCAAAAUCAUACAUGGUCCUGUUAGUAGUUUGUUUGAGUUGUGAGUUUACACAUUUUCC